rnacentral:rRNA from 1 species
GAUGAACGCUGGCGGCGUGCUUAACACAUGCAAGUCGAACGGAAAGGCCCUGCUUUUGUGGGGUGCUCGAGUGGCGAACGGGUGAGUAACACGUGAGUAACCUGCCCUUGACUUUGGGAUAACUUCAGGAAACUGGGGCUAAUACCGGAUCGGAGCUCCUGCUGCAUGGUGGGGGUUGGAAAGUUUCGGCGGUUGGGGAUGGACUCGCGGCUUAUCAGCUUGUUGGUGGGGUAGUGGCUUACCAAGGCUUUGACGGGUAGGCGGCCUGAGAGGGGGACCGGCGACCAUGGGACUGCGAGACGGCGCAGACGGGUACGGGAGGCAGCGGGGGGGAAUAUUGCACAAUGGGCGGAAGCCUGAUGCGGAAACGCCGCGUGCGGGAUGACGGCCUUCGGGUUGUAAACCGCUUUCGCCUGUGACGAAGCGUGAGUGACGGUAAUGGGUAAAGAAGCACCGGCUAACUACGUG